AUGCUCUUAAAGGAUCCUGGGUGCACAAUAGCUUCAGGGAGGUCUGAAGGUGAAGUUCUGGGCUGUGACUCUCAGAAUAAAACCAGGCAUUUUACUGCUUUGUUUCUGUGCAAAUGGACCUUCCUACCCUAUGGCUGUGCUCCAAGGUGCUAGCACUGGUGGAAUCCUCACCCAUUCAAAGCAGGGAAUUUUUUGCCUGUUGGUAGGAUAGGGGAGAUUUCUCUUCCACAGGCCUUUGAAUAUCUUGUGUAAAUCAGUAAAAUGUCAAGUAUGCUAUUAAAACAUUGAUCCUUCACUAAAAAGGUUUUAUUUUUGCUUAUAUUUUCUUUGAGUGGUUAUGAUUUCUAGAGAACCUACUGGAAUAGCUCCUACUGAAUUCAGCGCAUACAAGAUCAGACUUGUUGGGCUGUUUGUUCCAGGGCAUAGAAUACUUUUGUUUCUUCUGUGAUUUCCUGGUAAGGUGAUUUUUGUUUGACACAGAAACAAUAUUUUCCAAUCACAUUUCCAUUUGUAUCUAUUAAUUCACUACAGCAAACUUCCAAACUAGCCCCUGCUGUUUCCUGACCUUUGACCAAAUGUUCUGAUAAUUUCCUUAUUGACAGUAAGUAGAUGCAGAAUUUCAGAUAGUACUACCUUUGUAACAAGGAUUGCAUUUGGUAUAUUUUCUUCUUUUUUUUUCAUCAGGGACUGUUCUGAUUCUGUAGGAGUUUUUUUUAUGAGUGAAAAAAAUAGCACAGAAGAUGAAUUGCUUCAUUAAUAAAAAAAGUCAUGACAUGAAUGUGUAACCA
rnacentral:lncRNA from 1 species